CCUACGGGGGGCAGCAGUGAGGAAUAUUGGUCAAUGGACGAGAGUCUGAACCAGCCAAGUAGCGUGAAGGAUGACUGUCCUAUGGGUUGUAAACUUCUUUUAUAUGGGCAUAAAAUGUUCCACGUGUGGGUUUUUGUAUUUACCAUAUGAAUAAGGAUCGGCUAACUCCGUGCCAUCAGCCGCGGUACUACGGAGGAUCCGAGCGUUAUCCGGAGUUAUUGGGUUUAAAGGGUGCGUAGGUGGUUUGUUAAGGUAGUUGUGAAAGUUGGCGGCUAAACCUUAAAAUUGCAGUUGAAACUGGCAGGCUGGAUGACAGUAGAGGUAGGCGGAAGGCGUGGUGUAGCGGUGAAAUGCUUAGAGAUCACGAAGAACUCCGAUUGCGAAGGCAGCUCACUGGACUGCAACUGACACUGAGGCUCGAAAGUGUGGGUAUCAAACAGGAUUAGAUACCCCGGUAGUC
rnacentral:rRNA from 1 species